rnacentral:rRNA from 1 species
AUGAAUAAUGAAGAUGAACCAAGAAAACAAAGAACACUGAGCGUGCAGCUGGCGUUCAAGCACUGCAAAAGGGCCCCACUGAAAGAGUGUAAAAUAAAGGUGAUGCUGGAGCUCACCGGUGGCGACAGCACCAGUGACCGGCCGGGCCUGGACCUGGUGCUCGUCAUGGACGUCAGUGGCAGUAUGGAGGGCGAGAAGCUAGACCAAGUAAAGACCGCCAUGCGGUUUGUCGUACAGAAGCUCAGCCCCAUCGACCGACUCUCCAUUGUCACAUUCUCUAAUAUCGCCACCAAGCUCUGUCCGCUGCAGCAGGUCACCGAGGCCUCGCAGCGGCAGUUGCAGCAGCUCAUCGACAGUCUUGUGGCCCAGGGCGCCACCAACAUAAUUGACGGCCUCCGGACCGGGGCCAAUAUCCUUACCGACCGCAAGGUGAGCGACGGUCGCGUCGCCAGCAUCAUGCUCAUGUCUGACGGUCACGUCCAGGACACUGGCGGUGCUGGCCUGAUCAUGGCCGUAGCCCAGUGCCUCGCCGGGCUGCUUACGGUCGCGAUUGAGGAGCUCGAACUGAAGAUGGAAUGGGUCAUUGGCGAAUUACAUAUAGUUAAGGUGAACUCUGGGAAUCUAAAGUCCUACGGCGGCAAGGGUCACGAGCGCGUAAGCUUUGGCAACCUCUACAGCAGAGAAGUUCGCAGGGUCAUUGUUGAACUUCUUCUACCGGCAAUCGACAGCGAGCGUAGCACGGAGAUCGAAGUCACGCUGGUACGGUAUCCAUCAAAAACAGCUCUUCAGGGAGGCCAGAGUUCAUCAGCAUGCCUCCUAAGACAAUGA